rnacentral:rRNA from 1 species
AGUGAACGCUGGCGGUAUGCCUAACACAUGCAAGUCGAACGGCAGCACAGUAAGAGCUUGCCCUUACGGACGGCGAGUGGCAGGGGGGUGUGGAAUACAUCGGACUCUCCUCUUACGUGGGGGCUAACGUAGGGAAACUUACGCUAAUACCGCAUACGACCUACGUGUGAAGAGAGGGAUUUUUCGGCUCUUUCUGCUAACACUAUGCGAUGGCGGUGUUGUGUAUUAGCUAGGUGGAGGGGUAAAGGCCCACCAAGGCGACGGUGCGUAGCCGAGCUGAGAGGGUGAUCGGCCACACUGGGACUGAGACACGGCCCAGACUCCUACGGGAGGCAGCAGUGGGGAAUCUUCGGCAAUGGGCGAAAGCCUGAAGCAGCAACGCCGCGUGGGUGAAGAAGGACUUCGGGUUUUAAAGCCCUUUUGUUAGGGAAGAAAAGCUAUCGGGUAACUACCCCUCUAUUCGACGGUACCCAAACAAAAAGCCACGGCUAACUUCGUG